rnacentral:tRNA from 1 species
GUCAGGAUGGCCGAGUGGUCUAAGGCGCCAGACUCAAGAUAUGGAGGCGUUGGUUCAAAUCCCACUUCUGACA